UUAAGCGACUAAGCGUACACGGUGGAUGCCCUGGCAGUCAGAGGCGAUGAAGGACGUGCUAAUCUGCGAAAAGCGCCGGCGAGGUGAUAUGAACCUUUGACCCGGCGAUGUCCGAAUGGGGGAAACCCAGUGUGAUUCGUCACACUAUCGUUAACUGAAUACAUAGGUUAACGAGGCGAACCGGGGGGAACUGAAACAUCUAAGUACCCCGAGGAAAAGAAAUCAACCGAGAUUCCCCCAGUAGCGGCGAGCGAACGGGGAGCAGCCCAGAGUCUGAAUCAGCUUGUGUGUUAGUGGAACGGUCUGGAAAGUCCGGCGAUACAGGGUGACAGCCCCGUACACGAAAGCACACAGGUUGUGAACUCGAAGAGUAGGGCGGGACACGUGGUAUCCUGUCUGAAUAUGGGGGGGACCAUCCUCCAAGGCUAAAUACUCCUGACUGACCGAUAGUGAACCAGUACCGUGAGGGAAAGGCGAAAAGAACCCCGGCGAGGGGAGUGAAAAAGAACCUGAAACCGUGUACGUACAAGCAGUGGGAGCACCUUCGUGGUGUGACUGCGUACCUUUUGUAUAAUGGGUCAGCGACUUAUAUUCUGUAGCAAGGUUAACCGUAUAGGGGAGCCGAAGGGAAACCGAGUCUUAACUGGGCGUUAAGUUGCAGGGUAUAGACCCGAAACCCGGUGAUCUAGCCAUGGGCAGGUUGAAGGUUGGGUAACACUAACUGGAGGACCGAACCGACUAAUGUUGAAAAAUUAGCGGAUGACUUGUGGCUGGGGGGUGAAAGGCCAAUCAAACCGGGAGAUAGCUGGUUCUCCCCGAAAGCUAUUUAGGUAGCGCCUCGUGAACUCAUCUUCGGGGGUAGAGCACUGUUUCGGCUAGGGGGCCAUCCCGGCUUACCAACCCGAUGCAAACUACGAAUACCGAAGAAUGUUAUCACGGGAGACACACGGCGGGUGCUAACGUCCGUCGUGAAGAGGGAAACAACCCAGACCGCCAGCUAAGGUCCCAAAGUCAUGGUUAAGUGGGAAACGAUGUGGGAAGGCACAGACAGCCAGGAUGUUGGCUUAGAAGCAGCCAUCAUUUAAAGAAAGCGUAAUAGCUCACUGGUCGAGUCGGCCUGCGCGGAAGAUGUAACGGGGCUAAACCAUGCACCGAAGCUGCGGCAGCGACGCUUAUGCGUUGUUGGGGUAGGGGAGCGUUCUGUAAGCCGUUGAAGGUGUGCUGUGAGGCAUGCUGGAGGUAUCAGAAGUGCGAAUGCUGACAUAAGUAACGAUAAAGCGGGUGAAAAGCCCGCUCGCCGGAAGACCAAGGGUUCCUGUCCAACGUUAAUCGGGGCAGGGUGAGUCGACCCCUAAGGCGAGGCCGAAAGGCGUAGUCGAUGGGAAACAGGUUAAUAUUCCUGUACUUGGUGUUACUGCGAAGGGGGGACGGAGAAGGCUAUGUUAGCCGGGCGACGGUUGUCCCGGUUUAAGCAUGUAGGCGGAGGUUCCAGGUAAAUCCGGUACCUUUUAACGCUGAGGUGUGAUGACGAGGCACUACGGUGCUGAAGUAACAAAUGCCCUGCUUCCAGGAAAAGCCUCUAAGCAUCAGGUAACAUCAAAUCGUACCCCAAACCGACACAGGUGGUCAGGUAGAGAAUACCAAGGCGCUUGAGAGAACUCGGGUGAAGGAAACUAGGCAAAAUGGUGCCGUAACUUCGGGAGAAGGCACGCUGAUAUGUAGGUGAAGCCCCUGCGGGUGGAGCUGAAAUCAGUCGAAGAUACCAGCUGGCUGCAACUGUUUAUUAAAAACACAGCACUGUGCAAACACGAAAGUGGACGUAUACGGUGUGACGCCUGCCCGGUGCCGGAAGGUUAAUUGAUGGGGUUUAGCGGCAACGCGAAGCUCUUGAUCGAAGCCCCGGUAAACGGCGGCCGUAACUAUAACGGUCCUAAGGUAGCGAAAUUCCUUGUCGGGUAAGUUCCGACCUGCACGAAUGGCGUAAUGAUGGCCAGGCUGUCUCCACCCGAGACUCAGUGAAAUUGAACUCGCUGUGAAGAUGCAGUGUACCCGCGGCAAGACGGAAAGACCCCGUGAACCUUUACUAUAGCUUGACACUGAACACUGGUCCUUGAUGUGUAGGAUAGGUGGGAGGCUUUGAAGCGUGGACGCCAGUCUGCGUGGAGCCAACCUUGAAAUACCACCCUUUAAUGGCUGGUGUUCUAACGUAGACCCGUAAUCCGGGUUGCGGACAGUGUCUGGUGGGUAGUUUGACUGGGGCGGUCUCCUCCCAAAGAGUAACGGAGGAGCACGAAGGUUAGCUAAUCCUGGUCGGACAUCAGGAGGUUAGUGCAAUGGCAUAAGCUAGCUUGACUGCGAGAGUGACGGCUCGAGCAGGUGCGAAAGCAGGUCAUAGUGAUCCGGUGGUUCUGAAUGGAAGGGCCAUCGCUCAACGGAUAAAAGGUACUCCGGGGAUAACAGGCUGAUACCGCCCAAGAGUUCAUAUCGACGGCGGUGUUUGGCACCUCGAUGUCGGCUCAUCACAUCCUGGGGCUGAAGUAGGUCCCAAGGGUAUGGCUGUUCGCCAUUUAAAGUGGUACGCGAGCUGGGUUUAGAACGUCGUGAGACAGUUCGGUCCCUAUCUGCCGUGGGCGCUGGAGAAUUGAGGGGGGCUGCUCCUAGUACGAGAGGACCGGAGUGGACGCAUCACUGGUGUUCGGGUUGUCAUGCCAAUGGCACUGCCCGGUAGCUAAAUGCGGAAAAGAUAAGUGCUGAAAGCAUCUAAGCACGAAACUUGCCCCGAGAUGAGUUCUCCCUGACCCUUUAAGGGUCCUGAAGGAACGUUGAAGACUACGACGUUGAUAGGUCGGGUGUGUAAGCGCAGCGAUGCGUUGAGCUAACCGAUACUAAUGAACCGUGAGGCUUAACCUU
rnacentral:rRNA from 1 species